AACUCCCCAUCAGAUUGCUUGUUGGCCGUUUACCUCUUUAUGAUCCUUUGCUGGUUAACACCAUAAGGUUUUCACUUUUCUGAUCUUUAGAUCCUCAAAGCUCCAAUCCCUCCUCAUCCCACUGCUCCUGACCAGCCGAGGCGGCUCGUACUCCACGGGGCCGCUGUGCCGGUGCCUGCGCCGUGACACGCCGCCGCGCUCCACCUUCUGCAGCCCCGGAUUCGAGGCGGCGCCGGCGCCGGAGCCAUUGUUGUUGCCGGCGGUCAGCCUGGGAACCAAGUUCCCCGACCAGCUCCUCUCGACGGCGGCGUGAUUCCGCCUCAAAGUCCGGCCAGCCUUGGCCUUCUGUCUGCCCACAGUAAUGGCGGCUUCGAUUCCGCCCCUCAGCGAGUUCGUUCUCUGGCACGUCAGGCAAUUCAGACUCAUGAUGAUUGAUGAACUGAUUAUGAUGAUAAUGGUGAUAGAAGAUUGAAGAAGAUGAUAGAUAGAUAGUAGAUAGAGGUUAUAAUCCGUGGGGGGCGGAAAUUAAAGAUUGUAGUUUUAGUUUUAGUUUUGUUUGGGGGCUUUAAGGUUUUGAGAGUACAUAUUUACGUACUAAUAUAGGUUGUAUAGCAUGGGUGAAUGGGUGAGGAGGUGACAAAACUGGCUUCAUUGUAUGUGUAUAUAUAUAUACGUAUAGAGAGAGAGAGAGAGAGAGAGAGAGAGAGAGAGAGAGCGAUUUUGAUGGAGGAAAGACAGUUUUACUACGUUAAUGGCCAUUGUUUUUCAAGUUUCUUGCAGGCUCCAAAUUGAAUCCAAUCCGAUAAUUAAGCUCA